AGGGAUGAAAAAGUGUAAAGGGGUUGAUAAGGUACAUCAUAGGGAAAAUAAAGUAUAAAGGGGGGUGAUAAGGUAUGCCAGAGGUAUGAUAAAGUAUAAAGGGGGUUGAUAAAGUACAUCAGAGUGAUGAUAAGGUAUGUCAGAGGGAUGAUAAAGUAUAAAGGGGGUUGAUAAGGUACGUCAGAGUGAUGAUAAAGUAUAAAGGGGGUUGAUAAAGUACGUCAGAGUGAUGAUAAAGUAUGUCAGAGGGAUGAUAAAGUAUAAAGGGGGGUGAUAAGGUAUGUCAGAGGGAUGAUAAGGUACAUCAGAAGGAUGAUAAGGUAUGUCAGAGGGAUGAUAAAGUAUAAAGGGG